UGUUAAAUUUUCAGGGAUGGUGUUAAAUACACAGUGUUGAUGCUGUUUUAACACUAUCUGGUAAUAAAAUAACACUGCCAUUGCUAGGCCAGUGUUAUAUCAACGACAGUGUCAGUGUAAAACAAGGGUGUUACCAGAUUUCACACUGAGCGGUGUAAAUCAAGCCACGCCUCCAGUAAACAUUUCCUGUCAGGGAUUUUACCGCCAUUUUCUUUCAAAGGAGGACUGAAGAGAGCAGAUGCUAGUUUGGUGAAAGUACACACUGAGUGCUUCAAAUCAUUCAGAAGAGAUGCUGUUUUUAAGGGCAGUUUAUUAAAGAAGACCUGACAUGGAUGACUUCCAAUGAGAAACGACUGCUAAUACUUAUAUAAAUUCAUUACAGAAGGACCCUACCAGACUAUAUUUGAAUACGGCAUACCCAUGAAUUCUGGAACUUUUAUUUCUUAACCCAGUUUGGAGGAUAAGAGCUUACCAACUAUAAAUAUGCUGAGGUGAUGUAUUGCAAAAUAGCCAACAUACAACAAUUAAAGGAUAAUUGCAGCCUAUAUCCUGAUGAAGAUAUGGAUGACCCUCUGUCUGGUCAACAGGAGUUUAAAUAUGGACGGGACAGUUAUGUGGCAGCUCUUCCCUGACUCAUUCACCUCUUGCCUUCAUUUGUGAAAGGAAGAAAGACUGGAGAGGGUCAAUGAAGCUACUGAUUGUCAGAGAUGGGCAUAAAUACAUGGAAAUGUAUUUCAAAUACAAAUACAAAAUACUGUGUCGAAAAAUGUAUUUAAAUACAAAUACAAAAUACUGUGAAGAAAAAUGUAUUUAAAUACAAAUACAGUAUUUUGUAUUUUGAAAAUACACAAAAUACAUGUGAAAUUGGUGAUUCAGUGCAAGUAGCCAUAUUAGGCUGAAAUCUGGGUCUAUUUAUGAAUGCCAAAAAGCAUUUAGAUGUGUGCAACUGCUUAGAAACUUUCAUUUUAUUUUACGUCCCUUUUGCUUUCCCCUUCCCCUUGGAAAUAAAAAACUAGAAAAAAACUUGGUAACACUUUACUUGAAGGGGUGUUCAUAAGACUGACAUGACACCUUCAUAAUCAUAACAUGACGUGUCAUGAACAUGAAGAUUUUAUGCAUGUUCAUGACUACUGCCAUUAAGUGUCAUUUUCUCAAUUAUGUAAUUUUUAAUGCAAAGAUGACAUUGUUUGAUAUAUCUUUGUUAUGACAACUUGACACAUAAACCAAUACAACACAACUUCAAAAUCAAAAUUAUCAAACUUAAGAAACAUUAAACAUUACAUUAAACUGUGAUUUAAAUGUCAUUAAGUGUUAAUACUAUGUCAAAUAUUAUUAAUACUCGGUCAAAUAAACAUUAUGAACUGAAGAAUAUUCAUGUUGCUGUUAUAAAACUAUUUAACAGAGUAUUAACAUUUAAUGACAUUUUAAUGACAAAUUCAAUUUGUAUCACUGGUAAAAAGGGGUCAGUUAUGUUUUGUCUUGGUUAAUGUCAAGUUGUCAUGACAAGUUAUGAUGUAUGGGUUAAUGUCAAGUAAUGUCACAACAAAGACAUCUCAAACAAUGUCAUCUUUGCAAUAAAAAUGACAAUUGAACAAAUGACACUUAAUGACAGUUGUCAUAAACGUCCAUAAAAUCUCCUUCAUAUUCAUGACACGUGUGAUGUUAUGAAGUUGUCAUGUCAGCCUUAUGAACACCCAUUGAAUUAAAUGAUGUUUUAUAAAAACAUCAUAAAAACUUUUUCAUGUGUCAUCGACCCACAACCUAAACAGUUUAUAUGUGAAGAAAUCCACGUAUUUACUUCUCACGAGAUGAGUGUUUGACAAAUUAUUCGGCAAACUACUUUCUCUCAUCGCUGCUUUUUGAUGGUUUUGAGAACAAUUACUCACGAGUCGCCCUCUGUCAUUUGCAGAAUUAUACAACAGAGAGCACGUCAAGCAUAAUAGUCUUGUAGGUUUACUGAGUAGCCUGCAGGUUCACGCCGUAGAGUAGAGCCAUGCGAAUUGCAAAAGUGUAGACAAGGCUUCAACUGCACAAAGCUAAAAAGAAAUCAACAACUGUGUGCUGAUUCCACCACUUGCCGCAUCACGUGUGAGAGGGCCUUUAAAGAAAAACAACACCGUUUUGCAAUAUUUUACUAUGUUCUUACCUCAACUUAGAUGAAUGAAUACAUGCCUAUCUUUUUUCAAUAUGUGCACUUUAUCUUUGCACAGCGUGUCAUGAAUGUGUUAGCAUUUAGCCUAGCCCCAUUUAUUCCAUAGGAUCUAAAGAGGGAAAAAUUUAGAAGCCACCAAACACUUCCAUGUUUUCCCUAUUCAAAGACUGUUACAUGAGUAGUUACACGAGUAAGUAUGGUGGCACAAAAUAAACAUGAUUUUUAAGUGAAUAAAAAAUGAGAACUAUAUUGUAUGGCGGAAGAGCACUUAGUUUGCAGCACUUCAACCUCUGGCGCAGUAACAUCAUCUCCUGUAAAGAUGUUACUCCACGCUGAGGUCGAAAUGCUGCAAACUAAGUGCUCUUCCUCCAUGCAUUGAAAAUAGAUAGUUAUGUAUUAAUUUGUCUAAGUUGAGGUAAGAACAUAGUAAAAUAUAUAAAAAUGGUGGUUUUCCUUUAAGUCAAAAGUGUAGGCCUAUUUGUCAGCGUUCCACACUCUGUCUCAGUCGUGCAACAUCACACCCAAUUAUUCAAUCGCCCUUGCUUUUUUUCCCCACUCCAACAUUUCAAUUAUUGCCAACUAAAAGCUGCACAGAUAUAUUUGCUUACCUGAACUCUGGUGUUUGGUCUGAACUAGUUUAUGCAUGAAAACAGCACCCUGACUGGUUGACUGGCUCAAAGUAUUUUGAGUAUUUUAAAAAUACAAAAAUACUAAUCUUAAAUGUAUUUAAAUACAAAUUACAUUUCAUUUUUUUCAAAGGCUUUAAAAUACAAAAUACAAAAUACUAUUUUGUAUUUCAAAUACGUAUUUUAAAUACAUGUAUUUGAAAUACUGCCCAUCCCUGCUGAUUGUGCUGUGUAAGUUUUUUGGUAUUUUGUUCUAGUUAUUUAUUCAGCAGUUAGUUUGCUUGCAUUGUUCACCCCAUGUAAAUGCAUACAAGUUCAUAAAUACACAUCAAAUACAUUCAUCAAAUACACUCUUUUAAAACACUUAGGUGAUGAGCAUCAAUCCAUGCUUUGAGGGGGAUGAAUCAGCACAGCCCUGCCUGCUCUGCGUUGGGAACAAAAGUUGCAUCCAGAAUUUUUGCAUCAUUCUGGACCAAAAAGCCAUUCCCUCCAUGAUGAAGACCACUGAUGCAGCCUUCCACUACUGUACAUCAUGAGUAAAACAACUACAGAACUAAAUACCAGGUUGGAACGUGUUUAAGAAAAAUGAAACGUCUUUUGAAUUGAAAUGUCUGUUUUGUUAUGGAAAAAUCUUUAGUAUCUGCUUGCCGAUAAGGUAAUUGCAUGUAUUUUAAUGUUCAAGUUUUGAGUAGGGUUGGCUAAUUUUUUUAACUCUUUAUUAAAGACCUUUAUAAUAAGUGGUUUUCAUGUCACUGCGCUGUGGUAUAAGAUAACUUUCAUUAUUCCAUAUUGUAUUCUGUGUCUAAUUGUAGCUGAGGUAUUUAAAUAAGCAGUGUUAAAUGCAAAGUGUUGUGUGUAUUAAUGUAAAUAUUAAAUGUGAUGUACUUUAAUAAAAAGAGGUUUUGCAAUAUUUCUUGUAAUUUGUCUUUUAUAGAAACAACCCAUUAGGAACAAAAGUGGCUAUUACUCAGUAUUUUAACACUUAACAUUGUUGAAUUCACAUUACACUGGUGUUGACCUUAAAUUAGGAGUGUUAAUUUUUAACACUGUAUUUCUGUGCCAACACCAGUGUAGUGUAGAAACAACAAUGAAUAGUGUUGAACAAAGUGUAAAAUUUAACAAUAUUGAGUGUUAAAUUAACAUAUAAUGGGUGUUGUUAAAUUAACACUACACUUUUGACUAAAUUAACACAGUGUAGUGUGGACACAUAUACACACUUUGCCGGUGUUAAAUUUGACACCGUGGGUGUUAUUUUAACACCAGUGAUUUUGCUGUGUA